GGUUAGGGUUCUGUUGCUGCCACACUCCCUUUCUGAACGAGACGUCUCUCGUUUGAUGCUCCUCAAAACCCUAAUCUCGUGGCUUUUUGUUUCUUCCUGCACCUCCAUUAUCAUUCUUCCUGUACCUUCAAUAUUAAUAAUAAUAAUAAUAUUGUGUUUCGAUCUCUCUCUCUCUCUCUCUCUCCAUUAACAACGCCAACUACUUCAUGCAUUCUUUUCUUCUGCUUCUAUAUGUGGCUAUCACUCGAUUUUUUCUAUCUCUCAACAAGAAGAGGCUGUGAAGAUGACUUGGGAGUGUGGACCCGAUGCGUCGGUCGCCGUCAAACACCGCUCACCUGUGGCGAGGCAAUGUCAUCGCUUUUGUGAUCUUAUUGCAGCCAUCGGUGGUGGUGGUGUUUUUCGACUUUCGAACUAUCGUUGUGAUAGAUCUGAGCCUCCCUAAUUCGCCCCAAAAUUUUUCCCAUUCCCGGCGAUGUCUUAGUAUUUGGCAGAGGUGUAUGGGGUGUGUGGAAGGGAAAAACGCUUUUCCUGGUAGUUCCGGAUCGUGUCGGAAGCAUUGAUCGGUUCUGCAUGCUUUUGUUUCCCCUUGCUUCUCACCCAGGAAACCCUAAUUUGUUUAAAUUUGUUGCUAUUCGAUUAGUUUGUGAUAUUGAUCGAUGUAUUUACUCUAUUUUAGUUUCUGAAAUUUCUUCAUGCUGGGAUGUUUUAUUUUGAAACUUGUGUUAUGCAACCUAAUUGCAGGAUGGGCUUUAGGACUAACGUUUAGAGGUGUAUUUAUGCUAUUCCAUUAUGUUCAGGUGAGUUGUCUAAGUAACACUUUUAUUGAUUUAUUACCCUCUUGUGUAUAUUUUCUGAAUUUUCAGGUCAUUUUGUUACGGAAGUACCUGGCCGCAUUGAUAGCAAAUAUUCAAUUCAAUAGUCUACAUUACAGUUUAUAUUUCUAAUUUUCUAUGUAAUGUUUGUCAGUCUGGUUUGGAGUUUUGGUACAUAUUUUGUUACGGAUGUAAUAUAUGAAUUUAUUGUUAAUUGUAGUAGAAUCCAAUUCUAAACUUUUGUGUGAAUUGUAUAAUUACCGAGCUUAUCAAACUUUAGAUUUAAAGUUGUCACGGUUGCAUUUGAAGAAGAUUAAUUACUGCUGUGCAAUGGUUCAAAUAAUUAUAAUUCUAUUAAUUCUUAAAAUUUUGCCUUUUAAAUACUGGACGCAGUGUAUUGCGGUGCACACUUAUAAUUUCUUGUAAUUUGGCACGGAUUUUGCGUUGAUAGCGCACUAAUCGCAUGUUUCUUGAAUUAAUGACAAUUCCUAAUAAUGCAG
rnacentral:lncRNA from 1 species